rnacentral:rRNA from 2 species
CGGGAGGCAGCAGUAGGGAAUCUUCCACAAUGGACGAAAGUCUGAUGGAGCAACGCCGCGUGAGUGAUGAAGGUUUUCGGAUCGUAAAACUCUGUUGUUAAAGAAGAACAAGUGUUAGAGUAACUGUUAACACUUUGACGGUAUUUAACCAGAAAGCCACGGCUAACUACGUGCCAGCAGCCGCGGUAAUACGUAGGUGGCAAGCGUUGUCCGGAUUUAUUGGGCGUAAAGCGAGCGCAGGCGGUUUUGUAAGUCUGCUGUGAAAGCCCUCAGCUCAACUGAGGAAGUGCAGUGGAAACUACAAAACUUGAGUACAGAAGAGGAAAGUGGAACUCCAUGUGUAGCGGUGAAAUGCGUAGAUAUAUGGAAGAACACCAGUGGCGAAGGCGGCUUUCUGGUCUGUUACUGACGCUGAGGCUCGAAAGCAUGGGGUAGCGAACGGGAUUAGAUACCCUGGUAGUCCANUGCCGUAAACGAUGAAUAAUAGGUGUUGGAGGGUUUCCGCCCUUCAGUGCCGCAGCUAACGCAUUUAAGUAUUCCGCCUGGGGAGUACGACCGCAAGGUUGAAACUCAAAGGAAUUGACGGGGGCCCGCACAAGUGGUGGAGCAUGUGGUUUAAUUCGAUGCUACGCGAAGAACCUUACCAGCUCUUGACAUCUUCUGCCAACCCAAGAGAUUGGGCGUUCCCUUCGGGGACAGAAUGACAGGUGGUGCAUGGUUGUCGUCAGCUCGUGUCGUGAGAUGUUGGGUUAAGUCCCGCAACGAGCGCAACCCUUAUUAUUAGUUGCCAGCAUUUAGUUGGGCACUCUAGUGAGACUGCCGGUGAUAAACCGGAGGAAGGUGGGGACGACGUCAAAUCAUCAUGCCCCUUAUGAGCUGGGCUACACACGUGCUACAAUGGAUGGUACAACGAGUCGCGAAACCGCGAGGUCAAGCUAAUCUCUUAAAGCCAUUCUCAGUUCGGAUUGCAGGCUGCAACUCGCCUGCAUGAAGUUGGAAUCACUAGUAAUCGUGGAUCAGCAUGCCACGGUGAAUACGUUCCCGGGCCUUGUACACA